UGCCUAAUACAUGCAAGUCGAGCGUUCCCUUCGGGGAUAGCGGCGGACGGGUGAGUAACACGUAGGCAACCUGCCUGUAAGACUGGGAUAACUAUCGGAAACGAUAGCUAAGACCGGAUAACUGGAUCUUUCGCAUGAGAGAUUCAUGAAACGCGGAGCAAUCUGUGGCUUAUAGAUGGGCCUGCGGCGCAUUAGCUAGUAGGUGAGGUAACGGCUCACCUAGGCGACGAUGCGUAGCCGACCUGAGAGGGUGAUCGGCCACACUGGGACUGAGACACGGCCCAGACUCCUACGGGAGGCAGCAGUAGGGAAUCUUCCGCAAUGGACGCAAGUCUGACGGAGCAACGCCGCGUGAGUGAUGAAGGUUUUCGGAUCGUAAAGCUCUGUUGCCAGGGAAGAACGCUUAGGAGAGUAACUGCUCCUAAGGUGACGGUACCUGAGAAGAAAGCCCCGGCUAACUACGUGCCAGCAGCCGCGGUAAUACGUAGGGGGCAAGCGUUGUCCGGAAUUAUUGGGCGUAAAGCGCGCGCAGGCGGUUAGGUAAGUUUGGUGUUUAAUUCCGGGGCUCAACCCCGGGUCGCACUGAAAACUGCUUAACUUGAGUGCGGGAGAGGAAAGUGGA
rnacentral:rRNA from 1 species